CUCCGUCAGGAUAAACAACAGUAGGGCCGGCGCGUUUGUCACCAAGGCAAGCUUUAUAGAGGAUGCUGAGACUCCUUGAAGCGGGGGUCUAUUUGAAUUUUACAGCCUUGUGAAAAAAAGGAAAUGCUGUGUGGUGCCACAAGUAUAUCCAGAAGAAUCCAAUAUCAUCACGUGGUGGAGGUUCAUCACAUAAAGGCCAAAGCCGCUUUCCACACAUUGUUGCCCUGUGGCUGAACAGAUGGAGAGAAAAACAUAGCCUACCCAGGCAGAGGAAGGAGGUCUCUGUGGCAGCUCCCCACGUGAACCACUCAAACUGUAGGAGGGAAUAUCACUCAUGAUCUGCCCAGUCUUCAUCAGCGCGCUCAGUAUUAGAGGAUAUUGCUGCAAUCAGCCUGUCAGCCACAUCCCCUUGGUAAACUGCUGAGGAAAACUAACCUUAACAACUUAUUUAUAGACCAGUUUGUUGGUGAGAUGACUGCAACCACUUUCCCUUGGUCUAUUCACCUGUUUUCCUCAGAAACGAAAGCUUACAUUAACGGCAACUGCCUUCCUGAGACAAUUCUGGACUUUGUUUUGUGUUUUCUUUAACUUUCGCAACUCAGAAAUACUUUCAGCUGUAGCAUGCAACAGUUCUGGAUGUGAGCAGUUCUUGUAACAUUACCUUAGAUCCUUAAAAAGGUGCCACAACCGAAAUGAUUCCUCUUGUAAUAAAGUAGCAUUGGAUAAUCAAAGGUGCUGACAUAUCUCUAAAUCUCGGUGACCAAUUAAUUCUGACAAUACCUCCUUAAAAGAAACAACAUUUGCGAGAGAGGAACCUCUGCCAAAGUCUAAACCAUCACUUCCAGCUUUUACAGAUGCUAUGAUAGAGCUGUUUACAUUUAUUUUCCAACAGGAAGCUUUUGAAUGUAAGGGGUGCAACAGCACUUACAAUAAAUACUGUGGGAGAGUGACUCAACCUCAACAAAAAUCCAAUUCUAUUACUCUAUUCUGAGAGUUUGUCAGACUAGGAAAAUCUAGAUAUGGAUUCCCAAUAUGUCUUCUUGUCUAGGGAUGUAGUAUAUACAGAACUAGAAACAUGAAAGCAAACUCUCCAUUUUGUAAUGCUACUGCCAUGAUAUAUGGAACAUAACCUUAAUAUAAUCAGGACUACAUACUGUAGGUGACCUCCCAGUUAAACGCAUACACAUACAAAAAAACACUGUAUUUCAAAAUCCAGCAACAGGGGUGCCCUUACAUGUUCAUAAUCCUUUACAAUCACCACAUGUUCUUUCCAUUUUCAGAUUCCUUCCCACAUCAGUAAAAUCUGUAAUUUUGCAAUCCAAGGCCUUUGGAAUCAGCAAAGAGAUCAAAUCUGUUCAUUCAUUGUGCAGUUCCAUUAUGAUCAGAGUGAGGCAUUCAGAAAAAUAAGAUGAAGAACAAUCCUUUACAAUGCUGUAUUCACCAGAAGUCUCAUUAGGGUGUUUCCUUAAAAGAUUAUGACACCAUUUGUCAUCCUUUCCUUAAGGUUUGCUAAAUCUCACUGUCUGCUGCACAGUAACCACAAAACAUUGCCUGGGUGUAUAUAUUUGCUGACGGUAUUCUUUACAUACAGAUUAACCUAAG